UUGCUUUAUUUUUAUUUGGGACAGUUUGGGAUAUUUUUUUUGUUCCUUGGUGUGGUGGUUUGGGAUUUGGGGUGGUUGUAUUAUGAUGGUUUUCGGAUUUUUGCUUCUGAUUUUUGCCUUUUGCAACUUUGUGAUGUUACGUAAAUCGUAGGAUCCCGCAUCGGUUGGAUUUUGUUUUGUUUUACCCCUAUGAAAUGUCUCAAACGAUUUAAGGAAGACGUGUUAUUUUAAUACUGAUAGUGUUGAAAGAAGCUUGAGUUUUUUGUCAUAUGUAACAAUUCCGACCCCCCCUUUUUUCAGGGGGGCGGGGAAGGGUGUUCAAUUUUCCUUUUUCCCUUGGACUUUUACUGAGAGGACGCUCUCCUGCGCUAGAAAGACGUGUUCAAAGGAUUUGUUUUGGUUUGUUUCUUUCCAGGACAGCAAGUGGUGGGUUUACUCUGUUAUUGUUGACUCUUAGGAAAAUUCUUGCUGCAAGAAACGUGUGUGUAUGUGUACGCGUACGCGUGUGUUCUACAAAAUUCUGUGAGCCAAAUACAUGUUUGUGUUCUGCUUUUUCUUUAGGUCUUGGUUCCCCCCCGCUCUCUCCCAGCUCGUUUCAAGGUCGUUGUUAAAAAUCUCUCCUGUCUGUGUUUAAAGAGACCAGCCGGAGGGAAUUCUAAAGGCCUGCGGUGCCAGUAUCACAGAUACUGCGUGGAUUUAGAACAGACUGUGCUACAACUACAACGCGGUUCACGCAGCACAGCCCUCUUAGUUUUAGAGCUGAGUUAGGAGGAGGAGGAAAAGGGGGGAAAUCUUUCUUUCUUCCUUCCUUUCUUUUUAAAGGCAAAUGCAGUGCAGAAUCAUUUCACUGUGGGCCUUGGUUUGUUUAUUCAGAACUGCCAGUUUCCCUAUUUAAAUGUUGGUUGGGGUUUUUUUCCCCUCCUACUCAUCCCUGAAUGAGGGAGCCUCUUGUUUCUUUUAUGUCUCUCUCUUAAAAGAGGGUGUGAGGGGAAAAUAAUAUUUCAGAUUCCUCAAGUAUUAACCCAAAAUGUUUGGACCAGAAGCAGCUUUCAAAGGUCAGGCUGUUCUGAGCCUUGGCUAUGAAAGUCCUUCAGGCGGACUCAUUAAAUUACAGAGGAGUUCUUAAAGGUUCCACAAAAUUUCUGCACAUGUUAAUUUCCAAUAAAGAUAUCUCCCCAAAUAAUCUACCUCUCCAAAUUUGGGUUUAUAGUGGAGAAGUGAGCAGAGAGAUUACUGGCUAUUUCCUGGGAUAUUUGGGGAUCUCUUUCCCAGAAGUCUAUAAGAAGUUCAGAUCUGUUGCUGAAAAUGUCAGUGCAGCCCCCCUUUUGAAAAGGCCGUGUUGGAGUUUUUAGAACCAGGAGAGAUCCAAAGGGGUCGAUUGUUUUCCACAAGGGCUGGAGCUUAGGAAAAAUGCCUGAAGUGUGUCUGCCCCUUUGAAAUCUGAAUAUUUUAAUACUUAUUGACAGAUGGAUUACUGCAGCUUCUGCAGAAAAGCCUGUCUUGUGAAGGUUUUUUGAAAAAUAUACAUAGGCCUAAUCCUGUCACCCUUGUGGAAAUGAACAUUUUACCCCCGAAGACGCAUGUUAUCAUUAAGUGCAGAUUCAUUUUGCCAGAAGGCAGACUGUUUCUUAAAUUGUCCCCUUCCUCCUGAGUUCGAAAGAGUUUUAAAGGAAUCCCACCGGAUUCUAAAUGACACCCGAUUUUGCUGAAGUGAUCGUCUUUGUGUAUUUCUAUGGGUGAUAAUUUUUGUAUUUUUUAUUAAUAUGUUCUCAGGUGUAUCUGUGUGGUUUGGAAUGUGAAUUGUGUGGUUCUCCCCUGCUACUGAUUCUGCAGUGUGAUAACUUUUGUGAUGUGGGGUUCCUUUUCUUGUCAAAGUUGCCAUCCAGCCUCAGUGGGUCCUCCCCACCACCACUUUAAACACACUGCUUGUCUCUCUCGCGUUCUCUUUGCCACUCCAAUCUUAGCCCCAUGGGGGCGCUGCAGAGCAAAGGGAAAUCUGCUCUCUAGCAGUAGAACCAACCAGAGUGGGGGCUGGGAGUGAAUUCACCCUUCUAGUUCCUCAGCCCUCUAAUUCUCUUCGAGAAGUCUGUAAAGGAAGACCCCACUAGGCCUGGUUUAUAGCUAAUUAAUCCCAUCACCAGGGUCCUCAGACCGUUUCUGGGGCCAAGUGCCAGAGUCCCACAUUUCUAAUACUACCCCCCCCAAACUGAAAGAAAUUAACCAGGAGAUGUUAAAAGAAAAAAAAAUUAUUGAAAAUAUUUUAAAGGUAAGGAUUUACAUUUUUGUAGGUCCCCUUCUCUUUUCCAAAUGAGUGGUGAGGAAAAUUGUGCACCCACCUCUCAAUCUCUUUUCAAUUACUAGGAAAGUAACUUUAUCAGAUGUUUUAUACCCAUUGAAUUUCUUCCAUAAUGUCCUGCCUUCUCUCAUUUCUUGAUUUCUCCCCAUUAGUAACCAGUUGGCAUCACUCUGUGAACCUCCCUCACCCCAGCAGUGAUAAGAUUAAAGGAAGGAUUGACUUGAAUAUAUUCAAAUUCUUUCAAAUCAUCCAUAAGAAGACCUGAAGAGAGAUUUCAUGUCUGGGGUCUUAUGUGUGAUUCUUGUGAACUUGGUGGGUUAUGUAUCAAACCAGUCCUAUGAUUUAAUGGCUUCUGGCUAUUAAUACUCAAAGUAGAGGAUCAAGUUAGCCCGUUUGCCUGGUGGUUUGGGCAUGGUAAUAGGUUCUUAAUCACAGGUUCUGGAUAAAUAUAAGCUUUGUUGCAAAAUAAAAUAGCUUGGUCUUAAUAUUACAUCUGUUUAAGGAAAGGAACAGAUUUUGCAUCCAGUUCCCUCACAAAUUUCCCCACAAUACAGUCACAGCUGUAAAGGAGCUAUCCUUGGAGUAAACACUGUCUUGUCCUCCUUCUAAGGGGACUCCCAAGAGAAAGUUGGUUUCACCUGUCAGGAAUUUCUGGCACCUUGGUAGAUCUUGAAACUGUCACAUAAAAGAAUUAUAGAUUUUAGGACUGGAAGGAACUUUGCAGAUCAAUCAACUCCUCGAGGCUUCCUUCUUUCAAGAGGACAGGAGGGCCAUCACUGGAGGCAUGAGGAACCCCGAGACACAACUGAAAACAGGUCUUUGUGGUUCUAUGGUCCUGUGUUAGAGAAUCAGGAAGAUCUGACUACCUGGGCUUUGAGCCUCCACCCGCAGAACCCUUUGAGCUGCCUGAAAUCCGAGUCAUUAAACUGUUCCCUGAGGUCAGACCACAGAUGCCCGAUGCAUGUUUCCUCCAUGUCAACGUCUAUGUAACACAUGUACAUACAGAGACACACGCAAAAAACUGUGUAACUCUGCGGGGGCACAGUGUGAGGUAGGAGAAGAAACAAAACAAAACUGGAUUUGCUGCCAGAAGACCUUGGUUUCUAAUUACAGUUCUGCCAGGAACUCCUUAUCUGAUGUGGAACAAAACCACUUGUCAGGACUCAGCCUCCUUAACUGUGUGAAGGUAUAACCCCAGUGUCUGCAGAAUGUCUAUCAGUUCUAAAUUUGAUACCUUUAUGUCUAAAUAUAUAUAUAUAUAUCUGUAACUUUAAGAUGGAGAGGGGAAUGGAAAGAAGCUAAGUAUAUAUGUGUCCCUGAGGUGGGAGAAAGAGUUAAAAUGUAAACUUCUAAGUAAAGAAGGCAGUCCCAGAAUCCUCACCCUAUCAAUUUUUAACCAAUUGUAGACCAAAGUCUGAGAUUAUGCUGAAUAGGUCCAAAAGCCAAUUGAAGAUUUCAAAUGUUAAGAGCUGGAAGUGCCAGUUCUAAGACCUUGUACCUUUGAUCUCCUGCAUUCCUAAUCAGAUGUGACAGUUCCCAAGUGUCUUUUCUGCACCACAGUUCUGUCCCGCCCCACCACUUCUGUUUGUUUUUGGAAUCGGUCCUAGUCAGUGACAGGAAGGAGUUGACACUUAUAAACCAUGCACACUCUAAUAAGCCACUGGGUCCCAUGUGGAUGUAAAAAAUAUGUCAUAAUAUUCAUACAGAAGGAGAAGAAAAAAAAAAAACCUAGAUAGAAAUUCCUGGUAAGAAACUGAGAGGUAGCUCAGCCAUCACUGCAUUAAAAAUAAUUAUUUGAAGUCAGAGGAAAUAACAGAUGAGGAGUUUGACCUUAC